rnacentral:misc_RNA from 1 species
UACCGAGGGUGCGAGCGUUAAUCGGAUUUACUGGGCGUAAAGCGUGCGUAGGCGGCUUUUUAAGUCGGAUGUGAAAUCCCCGAGCUUACCUUGGGAAUCGCAUUCGAUACUGGGAAGCUAGAGUAUGGGAGAGGAUGGUAGAAUUCCAGGUGUAGCGGUGAAAUGCGUAGAUAUCGGGAGGAAUACCGAUGGCGAAGGCAGCCAACUGGCCUAAUACUGACGCUGAGUUACGAAAGCAUGGGGAUCAAACAGG